rnacentral:ncRNA from 10 species
UCGUCACCAUGUGACUGGCGUUUUAGACAGGUCACUGUCGGGGAGCAUGGUUGCCGCCGCCGCGCGCCUGGGCAUCACUU